GCGCACCAGUCGCGAAUACUUUACAAUGUGCGAAGCACGAUAAGGGAACUCUGAGUGCCUCCCAAGGAGGCUGUUCUGAUGUCUAAAAGCAACAAAGUAAGGGCUGGGUAAGACCGGUGCCAGCCGCCGCGGUAACACCGGCAGCCCAAGUGGUAGCCACGUUUAUUGGGUCUAAAGCGUUCGUAGCCGGCCAGGUAAGUUCCUUGGUAAAUUUAGCCGCUUAACGGUUAAGCUUUCAGGGAAUACUGCUUGGCUUGGGACUGGGAGAGGUCAGAGGUACUCCGGGGGUAGGGUGAAAUCUAUUAAUCCCUGGGGGACCACCGGUAGCGAAGGCGUCUGACCAGACCAGGUCCGACGGUGAGGGACGAAGGCUAGGGGCGCGAACCGGAUUAGAUACCC
rnacentral:rRNA from 1 species